rnacentral:lncRNA from 1 species
AUGGAAGGGGAAUAUUCUUACCUUUCUUUGUGCAGAGCUGGGUAUGGGCGCUGCCCUGCCUACCUGCCCACACAUAGGCAAGCAGCUUUCUCUUCCUCUUCUUUCUCAGAUCAACAGAUGCUAGUCAGUGACCUUCAACAUUCUGAACACAUCCAAGAUACUGAGGAACAGUCUGCUUCAGAGGGGCUGCUAAGAAAACUGAAACCAUGGCCUCUUCCCUCAUUCAAAGUGGGAUCUGUCUCUUCCCCCAUAUUACCACCACCACUGCUGGCAGCAGAACGUUUCCUUAGACCAGGGGCAAGGCAAAGCACUGAGGGACCAGGAUCUGUGAGCAUCUUCUGCCCAUAUCUUCCAUGACAUCCCCCCCACUCUCCCAAGGGGCCCACAUGCCUUGUCUCAGUGCUUCAGUGUAGAGAAACUUCUCAUCUCAGAGACACCUAUACCUGCCUCUUACUCUCCCUGCCUGGAAUCCCACACAGCACACCUUCCCAGGAGGGCAAAUGGGGAACUGCUUCCUGGGAACUGGGGCCUGACUGAUUCCUAGCCAGAUCAUCCUGUCCCUGUCCCUCCAUUUACCUUGAAACAUAGCAGUCCUUCUUAGCUCUCCAGCAGAGAAUGACAGACCCAGUCAAACUGAGACCCUAUAGGUGGCCAGGCCCCAGGAACCAUGCUGUCCAGCUUCCCUUUCCUCCCUUCCUCAGUCUUUCUAAGCUACAAGCUUAGGAAUAUCCUAUUGGUCACAGAAAGGGGCUGCCUCAUGGCCCCCUUUGCCUCCCAUUAGCUCUAUCCAUAGGGAUGGUUCUUGUUCUGAUGGCUGUGGCUGCUCCAGGGGCUGACAUUGGAGAAGGCAAGUUCCCAAAAUUAGUUGGGGAAAAGAGAGUCUGCAUCUCUGCUACCCAUACCCCAGAUACCUAGGCUCUUCUGCCUUUCUCUCCAAAGGUCCCCCUCCAGCUCCCAUCACAAUCUUCCUCAUCUCAAAACUUAAGAUUCAGCAUCUCCUGCCACCUCUAAGCCUCUGUCCUGCCUCUCAGUGCUUCACUGCCCUGAGUAGACAUCUGCCAACACACAAAUGACACUGAGGCCCUCACCCCACCCCCAGCUGAUGGAACCUAGGGAAAGAAACUGGAUGGCUAUGUCCCCUUUCCAUCCUCUGCCCCUGUGGUUCAGGGGGCAUUCAGAGGUACCCAGCAUGACACUUCUCUCUUCUGGGUAUUAACUGCCUCACAGUUCCUUCAGGCUUUUGGAGAGACAGGGAGUAGAGAAGGUAUAGAGGGAACUGGAGUGGUAGGGAGGAAAUAGGGUCAGGGAUCAUCUGAAUUUUUAUAAAUGUUAUCAUUGCUUAUAAAUAUAUGUCUUG